rnacentral:tRNA from 1 species
GGGGAUGUGUCGUAACUGGCAGCCGAGCAUGACUUAGGAUCAUGUGCCGAAAGGCGUGUGGGUUCAAAUCCCACCAUCCCA